AACGCUGGCGGCGUGCCUAAUACAUGCAAGUCGAACGAACUCUGGUAUUGAUUGGUGCUUGCAUCAUGAUUUACAUUUGAGUGAGUGGCGAACUGGUGAGUAACACGUGGGAAACCUGCCCAGAAGCGGGGGAUAACACCUGGAAACAGAUGCUAAUACCGCAUAACAACUUGGACCGCAUGGUCCGAGCUUGAAAGAUGGCUUCGGCUAUCACUUUUGGAUGGUCCCGCGGCGUAUUAGCUAGAUGGUGGGGUAACGGCUCACCAUGGCAAUGAUACGUAGCCGACCUGAGAGGGUAAUCGGCCACAUUGGGACUGAGACACGGCCCAAACUCCUACGGGAGGCAGCAGUAGGGAAUCUUCCACAAUGGACGAAAGUCUGAUGGAGCAACGCCGCGUGAGUGAAGAAGGGUUUCGGCUCGUAAAACUCUGUUGUUAAAGAAGAACAUAUCUGAGAGUAACUGUUCAGGUAUUGACGGUAUUUAACCAGAAAGCCACGGCUAACUACGUGCCAGCAGCCGCGGUAAUACGUAGGUGGCAAGCGUUGUCCGGAUUUAUUGGGCGUAAAGCGAGCGCAGGCGGUUUUUUAAGUCUGAUGUGAAAGCCUUCGGCUCAACCGAAGAAGUGCAUCGGAAACUGGGAAACUUGAGUGCAGAAGAGGACAGUGGAACUCCAUGUGUAGCGGUGAAAUGCGUAGAUAUAUGGAAGAACACCAGUGGCGAAGGCGGCUGUCUGGUCUGUAACUGACGCUGAGGCUCGAAAGUAUGGGUAGCAAACAGGAUUAGAUACCCUGGUAGUCCAUACCGUAAACGAUGAAUGCUAAGUGUUGGAGGGUUUCCGCCCUUCAGUGCUGCAGCUAACGCAUUAAGCAUUCCGCCUGGGGAGUACGGCCGCAAGGCUGAAACUCAAAGGAAUUGACGGGGGCCCGCACAAGCGGUGGAGCAUGUGGUUUAAUUCGAAGCUACGCGAAGAACCUUACCAGGUCUUGACAUACUAUGCAAAUCUAAGAGAUUAGACGUUCCCUUCGGGGACAUGGAUACAGGUGGUGCAUGGUUGUCGUCAGCUCGUGUCGUGAGAUGUUGGGUUAAGUCCCGCAACGAGCGCAACCCUUAUUAUCAGUUGCCAGCAUUAAGUUGGGCACUCUGGUGAGACUGCCGGUGACAAACCGGAGGAAGGUGGGGAUGACGUCAAAUCAUCAUGCCCCUUAUGACCUGGGCUACACACGUGCUACAAUGGAUGGUACAACGAGUUGCGAACUCGCGAGAGUAAGCUAAUCUCUUAAAGCCAUUCUCAGUUCGGAUUGUAGGCUGCAACUCGCCUACAUGAAGUCGGAAUCGCUAGUAAUCGCGGAUCAGCAUGCCGCGGUGAAUACGUUCCCGGGCCUUGUACACACCGCCCGUCACACCAUGAGAGUUUGUAACACCCAAAGUCGGUGGGGUAACCUUUUAGGAACCAGCCGCCUAAGGUGGGACAGA
rnacentral:rRNA from 2 species